rnacentral:rRNA from 1 species
UCCGGAGCCAACCNCAAAAAAUACCAUCCCAGUUCGGAUCGCAGUCUGCAACUCGACUGCAUGAAGCUGGAAUCGCUAGUAAUCGCGGAUCAGAAUGCCGCGGUGAAUACGUUCCCGGGUCUUGUACACACCGCCCGUCACACCAUGGGAGUCGGAUAUGCCCGAAGUCAGUGACCCAACCGCAAGGAGGGAGCUGCCGAAGGUGGAGCCGAUGACUGGGGUGAAGUCGUAACAAGGUAUC